rnacentral:rRNA from 1 species
UGAGGAAUAUUGGUCAAUGGGCGGGAGCCUGAACCAGCCAAGCCGCGUGAGGGAAGAAGGCCCUAUGGGUCGUAAACCUCUUUUGUCAGGGAACAAAAGCGAGUAUGUAUACUGGUCUGAGUGUACCUGAAGAAAAAAGGCAUCGGCCAACUCCGUGCCAGCAGCCGCGGUAAUACGGAGGAUGCGAGCGUUAUCCGGAUUUAUUGGGUUUAAAGGGUGCGUAGGCGGCGGUGCAAGUCAGCGGUAAAAGCCCGGGGGCCUCAACCCCGGCGAGCCGUUGAAACUGCAGUGCUAGAGAAGGCGAGAGGUACGCGGAAUGCGCAGUGUAGCGGUGAAAUGCUUAGAUAUUGCGCAGAACUCCGAUUGCGAAGGCAGCGUACUGGCGCCUGACUGACGCUGAGGCACGAAAGCGUGGGGAUCGAACAGAUAGAUACC